GAUUUAAUCACAGGGAGCACAGAGGACGGUACCUAAAUCAGAAGGGAUCUGGGGAGGUUUCCUGGAAAAGGUUUCAACCAAAGCCAUAAAUGCUGAUGUGGAUAUCAGGACAGUGUUUCAAGCAAUUUAGAUACAAUAUAAAAUAUACUGAUGCCAUAGUAGAAGAAGUUGAAGCCACUUUGCCAAGAUAUUUGGUUCUGAUACAAAGGAAGUUUUUCUCGGCCUGGUCUUGACUUAACAGUGACUUUAGUACUAUCCUGUUCAGACACCUCAAGUCUUCAGAAGAAAGCAGAUGAUGUGAAAGUAUAUCUAGGUCCCCAAGAGAGAUGCAAAUUACCAGCUGUAUUCCCUCAUGUCAGGAAAAAGAGGGUCCCAUAUAUUUCUUGUCUAAUACAAAAUCGCAGAAGGCUGAAACACAUUAACUAGAAAAGAGAAUGCAAUUUGGAUUCAACUACCUGCUGUCAUGAAAGGUAACAGUAGUUAAUAAUGUUUGCAAUUCAUGGGAUGUUAGAGAUAAAAGAGUCCUCAAAUAUCCUCCAGCAAAAUCUCUCUCCUUUUACAAAUGGACAAACUAAGGACAAGAGAAGAAAGAUGAGUCAAGCCUUCAGUCUUAUGCUGUGAUCUGAUGGUGAGCUAUAAAAUCACUGUCAAGAGAGCCCUUCCAACCACCUGUGCUCCUGGAAUUCAUGAGGGAAACACAUUCCUAAAACAAAACUAGCAACAUCAAGAUAUUACCAAAUGCUAGGCCGGGCGCUGUGGCUCAUGCCUGUAAUCCCAGCAGUUUGGGAGGCCGAGGCGUGUGGAUCAUGAGGUCAGGAGAUCGAGACCAUGGCGAAACCCCGUCUCUACUGAAAAUACAAAAAUUAGCUGGGUGUGGUGGCGGGUGCCCAUAGUCCCAGCUACUCGGGAGGCUGAGGCAGGAGAAUGCCGUGAACCCGGGAGGCGGAGCUUGCAGUGAGCCGAGAUCGCACCACUGCACUCCAGCCUGGGUGACAGAGCAAGACUCUGUCUCAAAAAAAAAAAAAAAAAAAAAAGAAAUUACCAAAUGCUCUUUUUCCACUCUUAUUCUUCAAUCUCCAGUAAUUUAGCACUCUGUUAACUAUAUUAUAAUCUAAAAAGUUCAGGAAUAAGCUGGGCACUGUGGUUCAAGCCUGUAGUCCCAGCACUUUGCAGAUCACUUGAGCCAAGGAGUUCAAGACCAGCCUGGGCAACCUGAUGAAAGCACGUCUCUACCAAAAAAAAAAAAAAAAAA
rnacentral:lncRNA from 1 species